GUGAGAACAUGUGGUGUUUGGUUUUCUGUUCUUGUGUUAGUUUGCUAAAAAUGAUGGUUUCCAGCUUCAUCUAUGUCUCUGCAAAGGAUAUGAACUCAUCUGUUUUAAGCCAGAGGAUCUUCGCCCCAUGGCCACCGCUGUCACAGACCCACAGGGAGUACUACCGCUACCACUGAUGCUCCAUUAGCCUCCAAGUUCUCUUCAGUCAGCUUGUGGAGAGUAUUUCCUGGUCUGGGACUCACCCUGCAGUGCAGUGGGGUUCCCUUUCGACCCAGGGAAGAUUCAGAAAUGCUGUCUAAGAGCCAAAGCCUAGAACUGGUGAUGACAGAAACCCACUCAGUGCUCUGAACUGCUGUGGCCAAACUGGUACCUAAAGCGCAAGACAAAGUCCACUUCACUUUUCCCUUCACUUUUCUCAAGCCGUAGCCAACACAGCUCAUUAAUGGUCUGGGUCUCACCUGAAGCCAGCAUGUCUCAGAGCUUCUCUCUUCUCUUCAAGGCAGCAGGUUGUUCCCUUCCGGCCCAGGAUAUGCCUAGCAACGUUAUCUAGGAGCUGGAGCCUGGAAUGGCGGCCUCACAGCUUCGACUGGUGCCUUAUUCCACUGUGGAUGAGCUAGUAACCAAGAUGUGAGACAAAGUGUUUUUUACUGUUUUCUUUCUUCUCCUCAAGUGGAAGUAAGGGGUCUCUUUUGAAGCCAUGAACUGUGCUGCCUGGAAGGAGUGUGUAAGCACUCCCUGAGCCACCA
rnacentral:lncRNA from 1 species